AGGAGGACCAAAUCUGGUAGGAGGGAUGUUGCCACUACAUCUUGAGGGAAGAUGAGUUUCCUCUUCAGGUCCAUGUUCAACUCCCAGCCGGAGGCUUUCUGCAGGAUGAAAGGUAGAUUUUUAGCUGCUGUUCUGCUCUUAGGGGCCUUGCCACCCUCCUUCAGGAAUCCUAUGGCAUUAGGUGGUUGGGUGACCUUGUCAUGCCUCCACCUGUAGCGUCCCUCUGCUAAUGCUUUAGGACAACCAGUCAGAUUGUGAUUCAGUGUGCAGUAGGCUGCUCCAAACUGUUUGCAAGAUGGAUCUUCCUCUGCACCCCAAAUCUUUAGGUUGCUUGGGGUUGGCAGCAGAUCAGCCACUGCUUGUAGGAGGAAAGACAGUUCCCCUGGUCAGUUUGCCAUAGGUCCUUCCAGGACAGUGGUUGCUCCAGUGCCUGGUCCCACUGUGUCCACCUACCUUAGGAAGCUAGCCCUAUUACUAGUGCUCUUUUGGCUCUGGCGUUGGCUUUGCUCUACCUCUUGCCAUCAUUGUUUCCAAGACCUAAGUGGCCUUGACAUACCAUGCCGACAAUCUCCUGAUAUCUCCAGUGUGCUUCUGCCUCAGUCACUGCCUGCUGAGGCCUCCACUACCUGCCGCACUUGAUGUUCUUACUUGCAUGCCUCACUUUCCCAUCUUCAGAUGAGAAGAGUGUACUGACUGCCCUUGCCUUGGUGGUUUUGAAUUCCUCAGCCACCGAUCUUACUGGUAGGGAAAGCUUUGAGGUCUUGCUGUAAAGAUUGACUAAGCUGAAAGAUGGAGGGACGCCCAGCCAUUUCUGCAAGAGCUUGCUACGGAGCCUCCCCAUCCCUUCUACUUGGGACAUGGGUAAAUCAUAGAGCAAAAAGGGCUACUGCAGUUGAGAUAUGAUUCCAUAUUGAAAACACCACACCUGGAACCUCCCCAGCUGUUGGCUGUUAUUGAUCGCCUUAAGCCAUGUGUUAAGCUGGUAAUUGUUGCUGGUGAGGCCUUUCCAAGGCCCCUGAUGCCUUGCACUUGAAUUCUUGGGAUGUCUGAGCCUUGGAUGCUAAAGAUGUUUCCUUUCAGCUUCCCUUUCAGGAUGCUGAGGUUCCUUGACUUCUCAGGCUUGAACUGCAGCCGGGCCCUUGUGGCUGUCUUUUCCAAAGCACUUAGGAUCCAUUGUGCUCCUUGGAUUGACAGAGUCAUAACGGUAAUGUCGUCCAUAAAGGCUCGGCAGGCGGGGUGUCUUGUGCCGUCCUCUGCUUUCGGGCCCCUGCACUGUGAUCUUCCUACUUUGAGCAGUAGGUCUAAUGCAGCUAUGAAUACGGUCACUGAAAUCAUACAUCCUGCCAUGAUGCCCUUUUAUUGUAAAGUUAUUCUUUACAAAUGUCACUAUUAAUCAAGAACAUAAUGGGAUCUGCUCCGAUUAAAUACGUCAUCAAUAUUUUUAUUCUUGUAGGCACGAAUUGUUGAUCAUAUGUUUUUUCUAAGUUGUAGUGCAACUUUCCACCAUUAGCUAGGACUGUAGCACUGGUUUUUGAACAUCCCUCUGUUAUAGUUAAACAUUGUGUAUUAUUAUGGUUUUAGAAAAAAAUAUUAAACCAAGAGGAGCUCAUUAAUAUAUUUAAAUUGCUUUCAAAAAAAAAAAAACAAUAACAAUAAUACCAGUUCACCUUUUUUUUUAAGCUUUGAUUAAAAUAUGGACUUCAGACUAAAUGAAAUGAAGAAGUAUUAUUAGGUCAUAAAGAGCCUGUUAGUUGGAGUGACGUCUUUGUUUUUCAGAAUAAUUCUCCUAUUCCAGCAUCCA